rnacentral:lncRNA from 1 species
CUGCAUUUCAGUUACUUACAUUGGGAAUGUUUUCCACAAUUUCGCUUUUUGAAACACUCUUAUGUAUGCUGGAAGAGGCAGCUGUCCUCUCCAGUUCAUUUCUCUCUUGCUACUAGUCACAUUUGUUUAUAGUGGAUUCCAUACCACCACACUUAGGCAUUCAGACCACUCCACUGAUAGAUUUAGAGCUGAAAACCCUGUAAGUUCUCAGAUUGUAUGAUCUUCACAGAGUGCGUGCAGUCAGUGUUGGCUGCUGAGUGGGUAAAACAAGCAAGCAUCCUGGGCUGUCAUGAAGGAAUCUCUGUUCUACGAUGUCAUAUUUAUGAGCAGACUAACAGGACACUGCCUAGCUCGCUUAUUCUUACAUCCUGAGUUUCUUAAGUUGUAUCUAGUGCUUACUAAUUUUUUAAACCUAAAUCUUUUACAAAACACUCCUCCAAUUAAACUCAUAUUAAAAAAAAUUUUUUUUAAUCUGCUCGUUUUAGAAAUCUGUGGUUUGUAGCCAAGUGUAGUGGAACAUGUUUAAUCCCAGCACUGGGUAGACAGAAGUAAGCAGAUCUCUGUGGGUUUGAGGCCAGCCUGGUCUACAGUGAGUUCCAGGACAGCAGAGCAAUAUAGAAAAACCUCAUCUCAGAAAGCAAAGAGAGACGUUUGUGGCUUAGUACAGACCCCUUCCAUCAGAGUAAUACCACACAGCUUAGAUACCACAACUUCUAGAUGAUUCCUUACCUCUAAAAAGGUUCUGAUGCUGUUUCUUGACACUGCUGAGGCUUUUAAUCCAUGCCUUGCUGUCUCCUCUACCUGAAGGUAUUUUCUUUUCUUUUUUUUUUUUUUUUUUUUCUUUUUUUCGGAGCUGGGGACUGAACCCAGGGCCUUGCGCUUCCUAGGCAAGCGCUCUACCACUGAGCUAAAUCCCAACCCCGGUAUUUUCUUUUCUUAAUAAGCUAUACACAUCCUUCAUGUCCCAGCUUCAAGAUCAUGUCUCUGAUAGCCCUGGGCAAAGUAGUCAUUCUCUUCAGUGUUUUUCUAGCAACAGGUAACCUCUUUUUAAAAAAUAAAAACAAGACCUUCCCCUCAGAGUUUUUAGAAGGAAAGACCAGCUUCUUCAUCUCUAGGUCCCAAAUAUCCUUUUGAGUUUGAUAGACAUUUAAAACCAGAUAUUGAAUAUUCACUGUAUAUCUUGAAUUCGUUGCGAGGUGUACGACAUGAAGAAAUGUAGACAUUGCUAACUGAAUGACUAAGUCUGACCUCUGAGAUCCUUGUUUUCUCUGCCCUGAGUGCUGUUCUGCAGCUUACUCUCUUCACAUUUUUGCCUUGCUAUCACACUGCAGAUCUUACAAGGGCUGUCUGGGCUGCUCUUUCCCCAUGAACUAUCUAACGUGUGUAUGGUGUCUAGAAAUGCCACCAUUUCCAUCUCACCGAAGCUAACAUAAAUAGGAGAGGUGUUCUCUGAAUCAUUCUCAAAGAUUUCUCAGCCUUAGGAUAAACCAUGGUAAUAAUAAUAGUUUUGAAAUAGAUUAUCUUUGUAAAAUUGCUGGUUUAGUAGCUCAGUUCUUACUGUGCUCUGGUCAGGAAGUUAUGUAUUUGGACAGCUAGGAGAAUAAAUGAUACUGUUUUUACAAAAAGACCCAGUGAUAGUGAAAUGUGUUUAACCUUGAUUGUGUUGUGUGCACUAGUGUUCAGUGUGGACUACAGUGAUGAACUGGAUAUUUUGGUGAGUGGCUCUGCGGACUUCGCUGUGAAAGUAUGGGCUUUAUCUGCUGGGACAUGCCUGAACACACUCACUGGGCACACAGAAUGGGUCACCAAGGUAGGAAGACCAAGGAGUAUCUCUGCUGCCAGGCUCCUCACUGGUGGGGAAUGGAGGAUGGUAAACCUGUAUAUAUUGUUGAUAAAUUAUUACAGAAUAGAUUCAUUCACUGAGCAUGGUGGUAUACAACAGUGGCCAGAAAGUAAAAGCCACUUUUAUCUGGGUGUAGUGGUACAUGUCUGUAAUCCUGACACUUAAAAGGCAAAGGCAGAAAUGCCAGGAGUACAAGGCCAGCCCUGGGCUACAUAAAGAUGCCCUCAGAUUCAGAACUGUUGGUUUUUGUUUCAGAAAAGUAAGUGUUUCAAGAUAGAGAAAUAGCUCAGUGGUGGAUUGCUUGCCUAGCAUGAGGCUCUGGGUUUGAUUCUUAGGACUACAAACAGACACACACAUGCGUGCACACCUCCCCCCAAAACGAUGACUAAACAAAACCCC